rnacentral:rRNA from 1 species
UACAGAGGUGGCAAGCGUUGUUCGGAAUUACUGGGCGUAAAGGGCGCGUAGGCGGCCAUCUAAGUCAGACGUGAAAUCCCCCGGCUUAACCUGGGAACUGCGUCUGAUACUGGAAGGCUUGAGUAUGGGAGAGGGAUGUAGAAUUCCAGGUGUAGCGGUGAAAUGCGUAGAUAUCUGGAGGAAUACCGGUGGCGAAGGCGGCAUCCUGGACCAUUACUGACGCUGAGGCGCGAAAGCGUGGGUAGCGAACAGG